rnacentral:lncRNA from 1 species
GAGAAGCGCCGCUGAACACGAAAGGAACCCCCACCUCCCAUUGUUUCUAUCUCCUUCAACAGAAGCCCUCCGUCGUUUUGCAAUCAAACACAAAUGACCCCCCCCUAAUCGUCUUCUUCAACUCUUCUUCUCACCGGUCAAUGGAGAACUUGCCAGAAAACACAUCUACCUCCAUCGCCACUGCUCCUUCUUCUUCGUCCAUCACAGCUACAACAACCAUGAAACCUGCUUGAAUCCUCCGUGAAACAGUCCAAAAAGCCACCAUUCAAACAAAAGAUAAAAGGAAAAAGAACAAAUCGAGAGAAAAUAGCAGUGAUGAUAUUCAGUCCAAAAACAGAACCAUGAAACCCCAAUAUGAAUCAAUUCCAGAUUUCGUGUCUUCAAUGCUCAGAAACCAGCCGUUUAAGUCUGACAUUCUGGUUCAUGUUUGAGCUUUCUUUCAAGCUUUAGGGUCGUCGAUGGUCGUUGUCUAGGGAGGCUCUAUUUCAGUCGUGCGUUGAUGUGCCAUUUGAUUGGUUUUCGGUUGAAUUCCGUCCGGGGUUCUAACGUUUGGAGGUCCGUCUCUUUCCUCCUCUUUGGUUACCUGUGAGAUGGUUUUAAGCAUGACAUUGAUUUUUUACAUUUGUUUGAGUCAUUGAGUCUUUCAAGUUGGUCUUAGAAUCUCUUAAUACACAAAGUGUUUGUUGUCGAUUUUAGUUGAAAUUGAAUAAUUUGUGUUAUGUUUGAGCUUGACGGUUUAAUGAGAAAGCAUUCUAUAGUUUAAAUUUUAAAUUAGUUUGAGGUCAGAUUGCCAUAUGAAUUAGUGCUUAAAAUAUUUUGCAAUGUCCAUAAUGUUAGUGCUUAAUUACAGUGAUGGGUUUCUCUUCCAAUGCAAGUUAAUAUUUGGCCAUUUUCUUGUCUAAAUUAGGUACUGUUAGUUUUAAAGGGACAAUAUUAUGCUUCAGGUUGCUUUUAUUUGCCUUGUUAUUCUCAUCGUUUCUUAUUUAUUUAUUUUGCGUUUUGUUUUCUCUGAAUACCAUAUGUUUCAUUGUGUGUGUAUCUCUUAUUGAUUAAAUAUGAGGCCAAAAAUCAGAACUUUGCUAGCCGCUAUAAUUUUGAAUAUUGAUAAUAAUAAGAUAAAGAUGUUAUAAACCCGGGUGUACAUUUCAUGUGACCCGAUUCUAAUUUCCAGCAAGGUUAAAUAGGACGUGUCGUGAACCACGGGUGCAUUUCAUGUGGCGUGGCUUGCGAUAUGUUUUAAAUAACCUUGAAUCUUUCUGAAAUAUUAAAAACGGCUAAAAAGUUAAACAAUGCACAUAGGUUUAAAAGUGUUUUAAAAUCAGAUAAUUAGGCAAAUAAUAACAGUUGAGCGACCGUACUAAAACCACGGAAUCCGGGAAUACCUAACACCUUCAUCCGGGUUAAUAGAAUUCUUUACCCGGAUUUCUGUGUUCGCGGACAGUAGAAUAGAGUCAAUCUUUCCUCGAUUCGGGAUUUGAACCGGUGACUUAGGACACCAUAAAUUAUCCCAAGUGGUGACUCUAAAUUUAAAUAAAUAAAUAAUCUCGUUUCGAUUGUCACUUAAAUUGGAAAAAACUCUCUUAUACCCUUCUGGGGUGUAGGUUAAAAGGAGGUGUGACAGGCCUCACUCAGUCCGAAAAUCAUCACAAGCCCCUCGGGCAUUAGUAAAGCAGUAGUUCUCAGCCCAAAACAUCAUUUAGAAAUAUCAUUUAAGUUUCAAAUAUGAGUAAUAAUGGUUGAGUUUGUAAAACAGUAAAUAUCAACAGGACUGAGUUCAAGUAAUAAGUCAAAACAGUGAGGAAAUAGUGAUAAAAAUACCCGGAGGGUUCAAAUAGUUAGCACGAAGCCCAAAUAUGGCAAUCAGCCCAAAUCAUGAUGCUAACAAACAGGUUUCAGUCAAAUACGCAGUAAAAUCAUCAAUUGGGAUGGACCAAGUCACAAUCCUCAAUUGUAAACAACCCCACACUCAUUAUUAGCGCGUGUCUCACCUUAAUAUAGCACUACGAUGUGCAAUCCGGGGUUUUAAACCCUUAGAGUAUCAUUUACAAUCAUUACUCACCUCGAAUCGGCUAAAUCUCUAGCUCGCGACGCCUUUGCCCCUAAAAUCGGUCUCCACGCGCGUCGAAUCUUUCCAAAAUCAGAAUGAAUACGUCACAAUAUGCUAAGGGAACAAAGCCCAAGCAAAAACAAUCAGAAAAUACCAAAAAUUCCGAAAUUAGCAAAACCCAAGCCCCGGGCCCACUUCUCGAAACUCAAAUAUUUUCACAUCAUUAGAUUCCUUUCUCCUCACGAGUUCAUACAUAUCAAAUUUACCAAAAUCUGACCUCAUAUGGUCACUCAAAUUCUAAAAAUUCACUCUCCAAUUUCAAGCCCUAAUUUCCCAACUCUUCUUCUAAAUUCAACAAAUUUUCAUGAUUAAACAAUGUUAUAAUCACCAUAAAUACAAGGUAUAAAUCCCAAGUAGCUUACCUCUGCGGAUACACUUGAUCCCCUCUUGAAAUCACAGCUUGGAGCUCCAAAAUCGCACAAAAAUGAUGAACAAAUGACUUAAAAUCACGAAAGGGAAUUUUUAUACCAUCUGCCCAGCCCUUUCGUACUUGCGAUCCAGUAAGCGCAUAUGCGCUUCCGCUUCUGCGAAUUUCACUUAUGAGUCAGGACCCAUUUCUGCGGUCCAAAAGCACACCUGCGGUACCGCAUAUGCGGUUCUCCCUCCGCUUCUGCGAAAAUCACUUGCCGACCAAAUCUCGCAUCUGCGAUCCUUUCCCCACAUUUGCGGCUUCGCAGAUGCGGUCCACAUAGCCGCUUCUACGGUCUCAGCCCAUCUGAUCCUUUUUUGCUUCUGCGAUGAAUCACCUGCAUCUGCGGUCUGCAAAAAUACCAGAAGCUGCAAAUCUGAAGCUACAACCAACAUCUAACUUCUCUGAUAACCAUCCGAAAUCAUCCCGAAGCCCCCAGGACUUCAACCAAAAGUACAAACAUAGCCCAAUACCUUAUUUAAACUUGUUACAAUCAUCAAAACACCUCAAACAACAUCAAAUCUACCAAAUCAUAUCGAAUUCAAGCCUAAGUUUCUAAAAAUCUUCUGAAAUACUCUUUUGAUAAAAAACCCAACCAAAUCACGUCCAAAUGACCCGAAAUUUUGCACACACAUCCCAAAUGACACAAUGAAGUUACUGUAACUCUCGGAAUUCCAUUCUGACCCUUAUAUAAAAAUCUUGCCUAUCAACCGGAAAUCGCCAAAAUAUCAAUUUCGCCAAUUCAAGCCUAAACCUACUCUGGACAUCCAAAACCAAUUCCGAUCAUGCUCCUAAGUCAUAAAUCACCCAACGAAGCUAACAAAAUCAUAAAAAUUCCGUUACGAGCUCAUAUACAAAUAAGUCAACUCUUGGUCAAACCUUUCAAUUUCAAAGCUUUCAUCUGAGACUGUUCUUUCAAAUUCAUUCCGAUUUUCCAGAAAACCAAAACCAACGAUCUACAUCAGUCACAAUACAUUACUCGGGGCAAGUCAUGCCCGAGAACUGGCAAUCAAAGUGCAAAAGCUCAAAGCGACUGGUCUGGUCGUUACAUCUGUAAAGACAAAUAGAGAACUACUAGUUCAAAUAGUCUCUAGUAAGAAAAUCAGGAAGGGUAUUAUCAGACCCUUUUUUGUAUAUAAUUUCGAAAUCAAAAGGGGAUAAUAAAUCUUGCCCCCUUGCAAACAUUUGUUUAGACACAUCAUGUUUGAAAUCUUUACUAAAGAUAAAUUUUGCUGCUUGGCAAUCAGUUUUAAUCAACAAUUUUUGAUUGUAUAAAUUAGUCUGAAAUUUCAUAACACAUUUGACAAUAGCAAGAAUUUCUUUAGCUACAGUCGCAUAAUUUUUCUGGGAACCAUUCCACUUACCAGAAUAAAACUGAACAAGAUAUUCUUGUUUAUCUAUUAGAGAACAUUAUUUCAAUAUCCCACCAUAACCGAUAUCAGAGGCAUCAGUUUCUACAACCUUUGCCCAAGUGGGAUUAGCAAGAGUCAAACAAGGAAGGUUAUUAACCUUUUGUUUAGUUCUCUUGACUGCUUCAGUAUGACUCUCAGUCCAAGCGUUAGGGUUCUUCUUUAGUCUUUCAUAAAGAAGAGCUGUAUCCUUAGCUAGAUCCUUUAUAAAAGGAGAAAUAUAAUUUAAGCUUCCUAAAAAUCGUUGAACAUGGGUUUUAUCAGUAAUAAUAUCAGGGAACUUAGAAGCAAAUUCAGUACUUCUAUUAAUAGGAAUGAUCCUACCCUUCUCAAUGUUAUGACCCAAAAAUCUAACAGAAGUUUGGAAAAUCAUCAUUUUUGGUUUUGAUAUAACUAAAUCAUUCUGAAUAAUAAUGUUUUUAAACAAAUCAAGAUGUUUGAAAUGAGACUCAAUUUUUUUUGAAAAUACUAAGAUAUCAUCAAUAUAAACAAUUAUAAAAUCCGUAUAAGGAAGGAAAAUAUCAUUCAUAAUUUUUUGAAAUUCAGAAGGAGCAUUUUUCAAUCCAAAGGGCAUAACAUUCCAUUCAUAUUGACCCAUUGGAACAUUGAAAGCCGUUUUAUACCUAUCUGAUUCAGAUAUCUGAAUUUGUCAAUAACCUGAUUUUAAAUCAAAUUUUAAAUAUAAUGGCAUCAUGCAAUUUGUUUAAUAAAUCCUUUUUAUUAGGAAUAGGAUAUCUAAUCCAUUUUAAAACCUUAUUAAGGGUCUUGUAAUUAAUGACUAAUCUAGGAACUCCUCGUUCCUGUUCAGCAUGCUUAUUUACAUAAAAAGCAGUACAAUACCAUUUGAACUUUGAGAGCCUAAUUAAACCCUUCUGCUGCAAGGAAUCAAUUUUCUUUUUGCAUAACUCCAAAUAAUCAGAGUUCAUUUGACAAGGUCGAGCCGUGGUAGAGAUAUUAUCCUCAAAAAAGUCUUCUUCAUAAGGAAGACUUAUAAUGUGCUUCUUCCUACUCCAAAAUUGGCUUGGAUGGUCACCACAAAUAGAAGCAGAAAAUUGAUUUUUGAGAAAAUUAAUUUUUUCUACUAACUUAGGCUUUUUUAAAUACUGUACAAUGCUGAUGGAACAAAUCAUAUUUCUCAAAAAUUCAAUUNNNNNNNNNNNNNNNNNNNNNNUACCGGUAAAACUUUUUGUAUCCCAAUAUAAAAAAGGCAUUAAUUUAAUAAAAAAUGGGACACCAUGUAUUACAUCCCCAUCAAUAUCUUUUACCAAUACAAAACUUUCAGGAAUACAGGUAUCCUGUUGGCAAAUAUAAGCCCUAGGUAAUUUGUAUGAAAUACCCAUUGCACCACCACUAGCAUUAUUUAAACGGUGAGUGGUUUUAUGAAAAUAUCUGGAGGGUAUUACUCCUUCUUUUACACAAUAUAAAUCUACUCCACUAUCAAAUAAAGCAACAAACUCUUUUUUUAAAUUAUAGUCAAUUAAAAGUGUUAUUUUUAUUAAAAACUUUUGGGUGAUAAAAUAUAGCAGUUUUUCUAGAAAUUCAUCUUCAGAAAAGUCCAUAGCUGCAAGCAAAGUAUUAGCAGUAUUUUCUUCUGAAGAACUAGCCGUAGUAUUUAUCUCAGUAAUCUUGAUACUGGGAUCUGCUUGGCAGAAUUCUCUAAUUUGAAAAUCCUUUCAUCUAAGACUACUUUUGAAGCCUUUAAUUCCGAGAUUUCUUUCUUGAGAUAAUUUAUCUCAGUACUUAAAUCUUGGACAGCAGCAAGCCUUUCAGGCUGAGACUUGUUUUUCACCAUUUUUGUGAUUUCAGACAUGGUGUAAGGUCCUUUUUGAGAUGGAAUUUCUUCCACCUCUGUUCCUGCUUCUGAACUAGUAGGAAGUUUAUCAAUAAGUUGGGACCUUAAUUCAGGGUCUUUAAUAACCCUUAGAAGAUCAAUCAUAUUAUCAUUAGAUAGAACAUUGAUCUUCAAGUCUCUAAAUUGAGAGCAAAUAUUAAAAAGUUCAUCGUCGGUAUUGCAACAAUGAUUUGAGCAUUGUCCCUUAUUAUAGAACUCUUGCUCUUCUUCAGAAGAUGAAGUAUAACUUUCUUCAUGAAGGACCCUUAGGUCUUCACUUGUUGAUGAAUUAUCUUCAUCAGUGUCCGAUAUAUCUGGGGAAGAAUUUAAAAUAAUCUUGCAUAAAAAAUCUUUAAUAUGAUCGUCUAAAUCUAAUUCCUUGAUCUUAUCCUUAAUUUUGCAAUCCUUUGCAUAAUGACCUACUCUUCCCCAUUUAUAACAGGCAUGAGGGUUUUUUGGUUUAAUAAAACCCUUUCUGGCUUUAUGAAAAGCCUUUGUUCUUUGGGUCUUUACAUGCCGUUUCUCCAGCGAACCCUUGUUCCUUUUGAAAUCCUUUUUAUGGGAUUUCUUCUUCUUAGAAGGUAUAUCAAUGGCGAAAUGUUCACAGAAUUCACCUAAUUGUUGUCUCUCAGUGAGACAAUAUUUCUUAGUUUGUUGGUUUAGCUUGAUCUCAUAACACAGAGCUAAACCUUCCUGAGUGCAUAGACUAAAGAGUUUACCAUAUGAGUAAGUAUCAUAAUUGAUACUCAUCCCUGUGCCUCUAAUGAUUUUUCGAAUCCUUUCAGCAAAUAAGGGAGGGAGUCCAUCAAUAAAUUUAGACUUCCAAUGAGUACUAUUACUUUCUAGUAAUUCCAUCACUCUGGAUAAGAAAACAUAUUUAUACCAUCGAAAAGAUGUGAUGGUUUUACACCUCAAAUUCUGGAGCAUCGUUCUAAUGGUCUUACUAUUAUCAGACCAUCUUCCAGAAAAGUGUUCGAUGAUGUUCAUGACUAAAGAAUAGACUGAGUUUUGAAUAGUCUUAUCCUCUUCAGUCUUGGUUGCGUUCAUUAUUUGAAAACGCUGGCCAUGAGUGAGAUAAUUAUCCCACCAGCCUUUCAGCUGGCCAGUAAAUCCGGCAAUAAUCAUUUCUACAAUUUCCCUAUCUAUAUUCUUAUUAACCUUACAGAUAGUACUGUACAUAAGCAUUCUAUGUACUAUAGUAUAGAUCUGUCUUUCAACAAGACCAUCUAUAUUCCAUUCAUAGAUAUCUGACUCACUAUAACCCUAGUGAUAAUGGUCAUUGUCCUGUUCUUCUAUUAGGACAUCUUGGGGGUAGGUCUAGGAUAGUAAAACAUUUUCUGGUAUGGUUUUCGAGCAUACUUUUCAGAGAUUUUAUUAAUCUCGUCGUCUACCUUCAGAUUGCUAGUAGACGCAUGCUCUAAAGUUAGAGGGCUAGCUCUAAAUUCACCUUACUUCUUAACAAGAAGUUCUUCAAUAUUCUCUAAACUUAGGUUAUCCAGACUUUUCAAUUUAAAGUCCUUUACCUCAGGAGGUGGUUGGACACUUGUAGUAGUGAUUUGAUCUUUACCUUUAGUAUCCUUCUGUUGGAUUUUUUGGACCUCAGCUAUAAGCUUGUCCAAUUUCUCAUGAAUUUUGAUAGCCUGUUCACCCAAAUACUUACAUACAUAUUAGUAUAAUUGUUCUGAGUAAGCAUAGUAUUCAGGUUCUUCGCAGUUAUAGCAGCAACAUCAUUUUCAAAUAUUUUUGAAAAAAGUAAUGCAGUAAAUAAUCUUAUCUUUUUCCCCUAUAUGAAAAGAUUGUUGGGGUGGAAAAAUAGAAUUAACAAUAUUUCCAUUAGUGAGCGUAUAAUCUCUUUCUAACACAGAAACAUAGUUAUAAACAUGUUUUGACAUAAACCAAGGAACAAAAGCAAUAAUCUUAUUUUUUUUGCUAAUAUCCCCAUAAAAUCAUUUCUAAACAAUUGUAUUAAUUUAGGAGUCAUGUUUUCAUGAAAUCAUUUUCUGAAAACAACCCAUUUGGAUUUUAGAAAUUCUUCUAAAAUCAUUUUUCUUGCCGGUGAACCCGGACUAAAAUCUAUUUGGUUUUCAAUCAUUUUUAAAACCAUUUGUAAAAUUCAUAUCGGAUGGAGUAGGUUCAAAAUCUGCAGUAUUAUUAAUCUUGACAAUAUUAUCACUACUGAUGCUGAUAUCAUUAACUCUAUUAUUUUCUCUAAUUUGAGAUGUGGAUGCUCUAGAUGGAAAAUCUACCACGUAAUCAAUUGGAGAAAUAUAUGAAUAGCUUGAUCUAGUUAAUCUAGAUAAUAAACUGAUAUUAUCAGUUUGCUCAGGUUCAUUGAACCUGAUUUUAACAGUGCCAUCUGAGGUUUGUUUUAUUUCUGUAACCUCAGUAUUACUAGUGUUUCGAGGGGCAACUGCUUCCUCUAUGACCCAUUCCUUAGGGAAAUCAAUUUCAUCCCAUUUGAUAGGUCUUUUGGUGUUUACUUUGGAUUUACCAAAGUUGGUUUCUAUAAGAAUAGUUUCAUUUUUGAAAUCCAUAAUUUUUCACAUAGGAUUCAAAGUAUAUAACGGUUUGAAAUAAAUCCUAUAGCAGAUGCAUAUGACUUCUGUACUAGGCAAACAAUUAUAACCAUGUAAUAUAAUGCUAAGUAUUAAAGCAUUCAAAGAAUUCUCAUCAUUAAGAGAAAUCUGCAAAUUAGGAAUACAUUAAAAUAAACAGGGCCAUAGGCCAAACUGGUUUGCACAGUCCCUAUGAGAGACUUUUUCCAGUCCUGGUUUCUGCCAUCUCUAAGAGCUGCAAUAGAGCUUUCAGGUAAGCCUCUUAAAGUAAGUGGCUUAAAGGCAACUUGUAUUAAACCUAUAUGUAUAAAUCUAUAUGAAUCCCUAUAAGGGACUAAAUCACUUUCAGAUAAUAAUCUGAACGUAGCAUGAUCACUAUCUACAGUGAUAGUCUCUUCAGCAGUUUUAACUACCUGUUUUAAACCUAUUCUUUUAAAGGUACCUAACUGGUAUAUUACAUUAGGUUUGAUUAAUGGGAUAGUCCACUUAUUAAGAAGGUCUAAUUGUUGAGGUAAUUCAUACUCCUCUUUCCUACUGUUUUUAACAGCAGUCUUCUUCCUAAUGAUAUUCAUUAAGAAAAUAGUGUUAAACUUAGUCUCUAAUGUUUUUUACUAACAUGGCUCUGAUACCAAGGGGGUACAGGAUCGCUUCCGAAUGAGGCUCGGGAAAUGAAUUACAAGAAUUUCAGCCCUAGCUAGCUACUAACCUCUAGGCAAACCUUAAACCACGAUGCUCCUCACAACCCUUCAACGGCCACCUGCCUAACGGGUUUACGAGCACCACCGGUUAGGUUGGCCUAACCAAGGUUUACUAUCGAGAAUAGUAACUGCCUGGUUUAUAUAGUUCUUAACCCAAAACCUCAUCGGAGUUAUACAGUAGACUCCUAGCUACGAAACAUGCAUAGUAAACAACCUUCGAAUACUAAGUCUAACACUUACAUGUUUACCCGAUCAUUUAGGCCAACAGUGCUACAAAAAUGAAAGAGGGAAGGAGAAGAACAGUACCAGACCAAAGACCCUUUGUUGUGGCCAAGUGACCUUUUUGAUUUUUAUUUCUGAAUUGAAAAUAUUACAAAAGGGGUUUUUUACAAGUAGAGAGAGAAACUAGAGAGAAGUCAGAGCGUUUUGUAAUGCCUUGGCUAAUGCCUACUUCUCUGAAUAAUAAAAUGAUCGUUAUAUAAUGGAUCGGUCUACAAACAAACAAAACUAAAAAGUAAAACUGGCCAACAAAAUAAUUACAGGUGUGGCCGACAAGAUAAAAAAAGUUCUAUAAUUAAGUCCGAACAAACUACUUUAUAAAAGUAGAAUCCCUUCAAUAAUGGAGGGGCCCGUUAGUUUAUUAAAGUCGUCUUUACUACCCCAAUAAUUUAUCUAUUGGGGCCUUCAAUAAUUCAGACUUUGCUUUUCCCUUUGUCGUUUUUCACCAAAGAUUCUUCGGCACUUUCCUUCAGCUUUGUAAGGAAAUCUUCAAUUUCUUCAAUAUUAAUUUUUGUGUCAGAGGGGCUCUGUGCUUCACCUGCUACACAUAUUCCUUCAUUUGAAGUGCUUUCAAUGGAGGUCAUAGAGAUAUCAUCUCUGACUGUUGUUUCAAAAUUUCUUACUAGAUCCUUCUUUAUUUCUUCAAAGUAUGAAGCAAGGAUCUCUUUCUUUGAUAUAGCUCCUUUCUUCAUUUGGAGCCGCUUUGUGAUCAUUUCAAAAGGACUUAAUUUUUCCUCUGCAACCUGUGUUCUGUCUAAUUUGACAGUCUUCUAUUUUAGCCUGUAUUUGUUGAAUCAAUUCUUCACCAUAUAACUUGCCUUGCUGAUUAGUCUGGAAUAACUUAGACCAAAACUUAUGAUAAAAAAUUCUGUUAAGGCAGGGAAUUCCUUCAUUGGUAUAACCGAUCUGUACAUCCCAUUUCAUUAUGCAAGGGAUUGAAAAUUCGAUAAAUAAAUACAUGGUAGCAAUACCAUUAUAAAAGAUAUUAUCAUUUUGUAAUGACAGAAUUUGGGAUAUAUGUCUACCCACUGAGAAUAUAAAGCUUUUAGUAGAGGGUUGAGUAUUUCUAAUGAUGGACCGUAUAACAUCCACCACUUGAAGAACCAAUUUGGAAUUUGUUGUCCGAACAUAUUAGGACAGAGUUUAAUAAACUAAGAAUGUUUCCUAUUAGGAUUUUCAUAAAGGAAAGUUUAAUUAAAACUCUCUACAUAGUCCCAAUAAUUGAACUUAACUGAUACCUUUUGGUUAGGAUAUGUGUAUUCACGAUCCUUGAGAGUACUGAUACCCCAUUCAUCAGAAGGUAUGACCUUCAUUAUUAUAAUCUUCAAAAAACUAUAAUUUUUCCUAGUAUUAUCAGGAUAAAAGUGCUGAAUUUCAACAGAUCCUGUUGUUGGGAGUAUAAUCUCAUAGUGCAUCCUGUAUUUAUAAGCAGGAGUAGUGUAUAACGCUGUAUCAAAAUACCUGGCCAUUAUUUUCCAAGGAUUAUCCUUCCAUUUAGGUCGGAUUGUUCCAAAAGAAUUAUUAACUCUUUUGUCUCUUUUUGAGUAUAAAACUCAAAAUUCUCAUUACUAUCCUCUGAUAUAACUGAGGAGUAGGUUGGUACAUUAGAUGUGGAUAAUGUACCUUCAUCUUUCUUGGAUUGUAUAAAAUCCAUGAAUUCUUUGUAUAAAGGAUGUUCGGUAUUACCUUCUGUUAUAUUGGCGGCUAUUAGCCUUUGAUUUCCAAUUUGGGCGAGAAUAUUAUUCCCUCUACCAUCGGUAGAUGCCCUACCUCUUCCUCGCUAUGACGACCCAAAGGGUCAUCACCUAUUUUUAAUUGUAUUAUGUGCUUCCUAGGCCUUGAAAACCUCAUUUAGAGUCACCUCAAUUUGUGUGCGCAGUCCGGGCACGUAGCCGGAAAGCUUAAAUAUGAAAUUUUGUAAAAAAUGAUGAAAUUUGAGUUUAAAAUGAAUAAAUUUGACUUCGGUCAAUAUUUUGGGUAAACGGACCCGGACCCGUGAUUUGAGGUCCCGGAGGGUUUGUAGGAAAAUAUGGGACUUGGGCGUAUGCCCGGAAUCAAAUUCCGAGGUCGCGAUCCUGAGAAAUCAAUUUUUUAAAGGAAAUUAUUUUUCUGAAAUUAUUAAGAAAAAUUGAAAUGAAAUUUGAUUAGAACGUGUUGGUAUCAGGUCCGUAUUUUGGUUCCGAUGCCUGGUACAGGUCUUAUAUAUGAUUUAAGAUGUUUCUGUAAAGUUUGGUUAAAAUCGGACGUCGUUUGACGUGUUUCAGACUUGAAAUGCUAAAUUUGAAACUUGAUAAAGUAUUUGGAAAAAUUCUUGAUUUUGAGGUUUGAUUCAUUGUUUUUAAGGUUAUUUAGGUGAUUUGAUCACACUGAUAGGUUCGUACAAUGAUGUUGAGUUAGUGCAUGUGUUUGGUUAGGAUCCCCGAGGGCUCGGGAGUAUUCCGGAGGUGUUUCAUAGUGGUUUUAGACUUAUGAAAGUUGCAGGUUUCCAGUUCUGGUAUGGUCUUCUUCGCGUUCACGGGAGAACCCUUGCGAACGCGAUGAGUAAAUUUCCUGAAGGAAAUUCCCUUCUACGCGAACACGUAGACCAGGUCGCGAACACGAGGCAACGUGGGGCUAGACCUUCGCGAACGCGUUCCUGGCUAUGCGAACGCGAAGGCCAAGUGCCUGUGCAGGGGGAAUGGGUAGAACACCCUACGCGAACGCGAGGGCUCAAGGAGCAACAGCUUCGCGAACGCGAGCCCCUAUCCGCGAACGCGAAGGCCAAAAAGCCUGACCCAUAGCAAACACGAGAGGUCUAUCGCAAACGCGUAGAGUCAUUUUGCUCAAUUAUUUUAAAGUUCCAAAACAGAACCACAAACGGGAUUUCAUAACAUUUUCAUAAACCCUUUCUUCUUCAAAGCUCCUAGGCGAUUUUUGAAGCAUUUCUUCACCAAAGUUUCUUAGGUAAGCAUUGUUUAACUCGUUUUCUUCAUUUUCCAUCAACAUCUAUUGAAAUUCUAGGCCUAAAACAUGUAAUUAAGGGUAGAAAUUAGGGAAUUGGGUAGAGCUAGGGCUUUUUGAUUUUUCUUGAUUUAGACCUCGUUUUGGGGUGGAAUUUGAAAACAAAUUAUAUAUUCGGGCUCGUAGGUGAAUGGGUGAUCGGGUUUUGGUCUGAACAUCGUGUUAUGACGCAGCGGGACCAGGAUCAAUUUUUGGGAUUUUGGGAAGAAUGAUUGGAAAGUUAUAAUUGAACAUUGAAAUUGGAUUGUUUAGCACUUAUUGAUGAUAUUGAGUCAAUUGUGCAUAGAUUCGAUUGGGUUGGAGCCGAAUUUAAGAGGAAAACCGGUGUUCGAGGCUUGAGUUGGCCGUGGAAGUUCGAGGUAAGUGUUCGGUCUAACCUCAGUUUGAGGGAUUAGGAAUUGAGUCCUAUUUGCUACUUGCUUCUUGUUGAGUGUAACGUAUAGGCAUGGUGACGAGUAUCUAUACGUUGCUGUCGAGCAAGACCGUGAGUCUUAAAUUUGAACGUUGUUGUGCUCUCAUAUGGCACUUCAGAUGCUUUAAUUAAUGAUCUCCUAUAUUGAGUAAAGAUUGAUUUUAUCCUCGUAGAUCUUAGUUAUGAUUGAGUAUUGUCAUUAAUUGAGCCGAGUACAAAAUGAUUUAGGAUAUGGUUAUAGCUGAUUCUCCCUUGCCGGGAUGACUAUUUCGAUAUUGUUGUUCCCUUGCCGGGAAGUUAUUAUAUUGUUUUUGUUCCCUUGCCGGGAUUUCUUGAAAUUUGUGAUGACUUGUAAAUGGGAGCGGGUGGUACGCCUACCACAAGAUAUAAUGAAAUGAGAGCGGGUGGCCUACCACAAGAUAUAAUGAAAUGGGAGCGGGUGGUACGCCUACCACAAGAUAUAAUGAAAUAGGAGCAGGUGGUACGCCUACCACAAGAUAUAAUGAAAUGGGAGUGGGUGGUACGCCUACCACAAGAUAUGAUGAAAUGGGAGCAGGUGGUACGCCUACCACGAGAUAUAAUGAAAUGGGAGUGGGUGGUACGCCUACCACAAGAUGAAACUAAAAGUGAAAGUUGCUAUAUUUCUUUUUAUCCGCAUUAGAAGUUAAAUUGUAUUUUCCUUAUUAUUCUUUGAUAUUCUGUUUAUCUGCUACCCCCGAAGCAUGUUCCCUUUCCCCAACUUUGAUUGCUUAUUACUUGUUUACUUUUUCUGCCAUAUAUUAUAUAACUGCACAGGUUUAUCUGUAGUCUGGUCCUAGCCUCGUCACUACCUCGCCAGGGUUAGGACAGACACUUACCAGCACAUGGGCUUGGUUGUGCU